CGCUGGCGGCGUGCUUAACACAUGCAAGUCGAACGGUAAGGCCCUUCGGGGUACACGAGUGGCGAACGGGUGAGUAACACGUGGGUGAUCUGCCCUGCACUUCGGGAUAAGCUUGGGAAACUGGGUCUAAUACCGGAUAGGACCACGGUCUGCAUGGAUUGUGGUGGAAAGCUUUUGCGGUGUGGGAUGGGCCCGCGGCCUAUCAGCUUGUUGGUGGGGUGAUGGCCUACCAAGGCGACGACGGGUAGCCGGCCUGAGAGGGUGUCCGGCCACACUGGGACUGAGAUACGGCCCAGACUCCUACGGGAGGCAGCAGUGGGAAUAUUGCACAAUGGGCGCAAGCCUGAUGCAGCGACGCCGCGUGGGGGAUGACGGCCUUCGGGUUGUAAACCUCUUUCAGUAGGGACGAAGCGUAAGUGACGGUACCUAUAGAAGAAGCACCGGCCAACUACGUG
rnacentral:rRNA from 1 species